rnacentral:rRNA from 1 species
GAUGAACGCUGGCGGCGUGCCUAAUACAUGCAAGUCGAGCGAACAGACGAGGAGCUUGCUCCUCUGACGUUAGCGGCGGACGGGUGAGUAACACGUGGAUAACCUACCUAUAAGACUGGGAUAACUUCGGGAAACCGGAGCUAAUACCGGAUAAUAUAUUCAACCGCAUGGUUCAAUAGUGAAAGACGGUUUUGCUGUCACUUAUAGAUGGAUCCGCGCCGCAUUAGCUAGUUGGUAAGGUAACGGCUUACCAAGGCAACGAUGCGUAGCCGACCUGAGAGGAUGAUCGGCCACACUGGAACUGAGACACGGUCCAGACUCCUACGGGAGGCAGCAGUAGGGAAUCUUCCGCAAUGGGCGAAAGCCUGACGGAGCAACGCCGCGUGAGUGAUGAAGGUCUUCGGAUCGUAAAACUCUGUUAUUAGGGAAGAACAAAUGUGUAAGUAACUAUGCACGUCUUGACGGUACCUAAUCAGAAAGCCACGGCUAACUACGUG